ensembl:lncRNA
AUGCCUCUCUCUCGUUUUCACUCUCACUUUAUUUCUCAUUUUCUUUCUCUCUACCUCUCUCUAUUACUCUCUCUUUCCCACUAUUUAUAUAUUUCUCUGUCCCCCUCUUUCUCGCACACAGACAUGAUGAGAGGGGCUCUGAUUUCCCUUGCCCUGUGCCUUCCUCACCUCUUCGCCACUCUUGUCCUCCAUUCCACCAUUGCGGCUUCACCGAGCGCCACAGAAACCACAACAUCAGUUCUAGACCUUAGUAUCAGCACUCCAACAUCAGACCCCCUGAUGCUUCCACUCUCCACAACUGAAAACCACCCUGAUAGGUCUAGUGGAACGGCUAAAACACAAUUGAAGAAAAGCACUCGCUUAGCAGCUGUCAACAACUCAGGCAGAACGACUCAAGGAAGAGGCAUUCUCAGAACAGGAACUGCCACUUACGCCACCACAGCCGUACAGAAGAGCAACAGGCACACAACUGCAGGAGACUUGAGGAAGGAAACAGAGAGCCACAAUCACCAUGAGACUCUUCCCUUCAGCAGACACACAGCCUCACCCACAACUGACCACCCCAGCACCACCACUCUCCCCAGGGAGGAAGGGACUGAGUAUCAUGACAGCAGCAACAUUGAAAUAGCCAGAGAACUGAACACACCAAAUUCCAUAGAGAGUUGGGCUGCUGACACCAGUAAUGACUCCAAGCUAGCGAAGCCACACUUAGACAGAUCACAAGCAGCAGACCAGCACACUGCUACACAAGGACUAGAGACUGCUUCAGGAGAUUACCACACAACACAGAGAGACUUCUUCACAAUCACCCCAACUAGUAGAGCAUCAGGUUUGAACAGAGGUAAACAAAGUAAGGCCAACAGCGUCGCAACAACAACGACGGUUUCACCUACGUACACAGUCACACGUCCUGGUUUGUAUGAGCACAUGACCGUGACUUACAGGGCUACCGGCUACAAAACACAACCUGACGACACAAGCCAGUCUAAGGACUACACCACAGCCACAGUUUCGAUCCCCCAUGCUGACAAUAGCACAGCUCCAUAUAUCAAUGCAAACACAUUUACAGAUAAUAACACAGACAACUACACAGACACACUUUCAUACAGUAAUACCACAACCUCUAAUAAUUGUAACACAACAGUACAUUUGAAUAAGAAAACUCAUACUCAUUCCCUCGGACACAACCACACAAUCUCAGGCUAUGACAACAGGCUGAACAACACAACUGAAAACAAUGUGCAUCAUCGUCCUGAGUGCGGAGAGGCAGAUGAAAGGUCCCCACCAUUGCCUCCUGGCUCUACUAGACUGGUCUGUUUCAUUGUUCUGUGGGCUCUGGGAUUGACUGCUUCGGUCUUCCUUGGUCUCACCGUCUUCCUAUCUGUGCGUUUGCCAGUCCAGAGAGAGAGGGAGAGGAGAGUGAGGAGUGGAGGAGAGAAGGUGUCAGGGGUGGAUCUGGAGAAUCUGUGGGUUGACCAGAUAUCAUCGGUGGAGGAGAGGGUGGAAUUCUGGUACGCCAACGGCUCCACCAUGGGACCCGGCCAUAAACGGAGGGAGAGAGGGAGGGAGAGGGGGAAGGAGAGGGGGAGGAGGGAGCAGGGGAGGCAGAAAGGGGUAGAGUGUGACAACCUGUGGACUCAACCCAAAGUGACACUGGAGGACAUCACUGAUUUCUGGUAUGCAAAUGGAAGCGCGAUACCAGAAGAAACUACAGACCAAACAUUGUUGGAGACCUGUGUAUGA